rnacentral:rRNA from 1 species
CAGCCGCCACGGUAAUACGAAGGGGGCUAGCGUUGUUCGGAAUUACUGGGCGUAAAGGGCGCGUAGGCGGCCAUUCAAGUUAGAUGUGAAAGCCCUGGGCUCAACCUAGGAAUUGCAUUUGAUACUGUUUGGCUUGAGUUCGGGAGAGGUGAGUGGAAUUCCCAGUGUAGAGGUGAAAUUCGUAGAUAUUGGGAAGAACACCAGUGGCGAAGGCGGCUCACUGGACCGACACUGACGCUGAGGCGCGAAAGCGUGGGGAGCAAACAGGAUUAGAUACCCCAGUAGUCCCUGUCUCUUAUAC